ACACUGAACUAAUAUGAUACGUCAAACAUGUCAUAUGGAAAUGCCAGAAAAAAAAUGAAGCAGCAGUUUUUUAAUCCUUCAAAAACCGAUAGAGAUCAGUGAAUCGACAACAAUUAGCAAUUCUCAGUAAAAGCAAAAAUGAACAACAGAGAAUUCGAAAACAUUAAGAAUAACAUUUCCAAAAUGAACUUAAUAGGUGUAUGUGUAUACAUUAUGAAUUAAUGUUUUAUAAGCAGAAUUGCUCAUAUAGAGAUUCAGAUAUGAAAAAAUAUCGCAUACGUCAUUGAAUUGAAAGAGGCCAAGAUCGCCGAGAUAGGAAAUCGUUCUAUGCGCUGAUUCAAAUGGAAUAAUCAACUGCGCCAACUGCAUCGGCUCUGAUCGUAGCAGAUCCAUUGACGGCCAACUACCUUGGUCCGCCAUACUUUACAAUAAUCACGCAAUUUCAACAAAAAAGAAUAGAAACCUAAAUUAAUCACGAAAUGCGCUUGAUUUUGAAUCCUCUCCGAUGUAAGUUGACUUUUCGGAGGGAAAUUGGAAAAGUGAUUCCGCGUUCAGAGUCCAGAGCUUUUUAUAUUCAUUUUUUUAUUUCUUUACUCCCAAGCGACCGACCGUAUGGUGAAGUUUCAAUUCCUU
rnacentral:lncRNA from 1 species